rnacentral:rRNA from 1 species
UACGAAGGGGGCUAGCGUUGUUCGGAUUUACUGGGCGUAAAGCGCGCGUAGGCGGGUCACUAAGUCAGGGGUGAAAUCCCGAGGCUUAAACCUCGGAACUGCCUUUGAUACUGGUGACCUGGAGAUCGGGAGAGGUUGGUGGAAUUCCGAGUGUAGAGGUGAAAUUCGUAGAUAUUCGGAGGAACACCAGAAGCGAAGGCGGCCAACUGGCCCGAUACUGACGCUGAGGCGCGAAAGCGUGGGGAGCAAACAGG